GAGAGAGGGAAAAAUGAUCUACAGAAAAUGGAGUCUGCUUACUGGCCCGACCUCGCUCAUCGCCGGAGUAAUCGCCACCGUUGUUGUCGCCGAUCUCAUUUUCGUUGAUAACAGUAUAAAAUAAUGUGAGAAGAGGGAAAUUCAAGAAAGGGUUGUAACCAUCUUGAAGUACUUUCAGGGUUGGUUGCGCAAGGGAGAUGAAAAGAAGCAAGAACCAGCAAAUAAAACCAAGUAGAAGCAGAAAGGAUGCACAUUCUAAUCGCUGUGUUCCUUUGUUUUGUCAAAAAUGCAAUGUUGAAUAAAUAGACCUUGUUCGUUACAAAAUUCAGUUUUUGUGCGUAAAUCCUUUGUUUUCACUAACAA